rnacentral:lncRNA from 1 species
UAUGACCUUACCUCUAUGCAUCAAAACGCACCCUAAACCAACUCUGAAGGCAUCAUAAUACUCAAAAAAGAUGCCUGAACCAUCUAGUAGGGUCAAAACUGGAGUUGUUGUGAGUCAAGUUUUUAACUCCUGAAAAAUCUUCUCGCAAGAAUCUGACCAUUGGAAUUUGACUUUAUUCUGAGUCAAUCUAGACAUAAGGGACGCAAUAGAUAAAAUUAGCUCAACAAACCAUCGAUAAUAGCCG